GUCUUACCAGACAAGGUUAGA
rnacentral:miRNA from 1 species